AACCCUUUAUGGUAUAUUGGAAAUUNGUGGAGUCCUUGGCUAAGGAAGUGGUCAUCCGUGCAAAGGUUUGGAUCAGGACAUCAUCUCCAAGGAAGGGUAAGGUUUGGAGUCUCCAACAGGGUUCCAUCUGGUUUGACUUUAUGCUAAUAUGAUUUGCUUAGAAAUCUUUGCUUUGUUUCCUUCCUGAGAUCUCUAAUGAGUGAAACGACUAACUAGUCUGGAAGGCUGUGGUUUAUCCUGGUGCUAAGGAUGCCAGGAAUUGGAACUAGGAAAUUCAGCAGUCUGGAGGUGCUUACUGCAAACCUGGCUUUGUCAUCUCCUGAGCAUGAGGAGGGGAUGUGGGCAGUGAACACAAUAGGCCCAAAUGUCAGCCUUCUUGGAGGUCAUUUUUGUGGAGAGAGACAAUUAAGUGUAAGCUAGUCAGAAAGAUAGUAAGCAUGCCAGGGAGGGGUGAGUGUUAUUUUCACCCAGAUUGCUAGGUCCAAGAAAAUCAUCACCAACAGCCUACUUUGAGUGGCUCAAGCUCACCUGCUGGGUGUGGUGGCACAUGCCUACAAUCCCAGUGGCUCAGGAGGCUGAGGCGGGAGGGUUGCAAAUUUGAAGGUUGCAAAUUUGAACCCUGGUUCAAAAAAUAAUAUUUUUUUUUGAAGUGAAUGAACUGAAUGACAGAUGCACUUGAAACUAUAUGUAAACACUGGUUGCCCUCCCCCCCCCUUUUUAAGAACAUUUUUGUUUUCAAAUGUAAAGGGUGGGAAAUGGUGGUGGUGGUGCUAGAAAGAUCUUUGGUGAAGAGGCAGGAGCUGGGGGAACCGUGUCACUGGGCUACUGAAUCUUCACAUGCAUAGAAUCCAACUAUAUCUUCCAACAGCAGAAUUCUAGGAUUCUAGCUAACCAUGCAUUUCAAAAAGUGUUUGCUCUAAAAACUCAAAAGAGUGCCUUCAAAUAUUCAUUAAAUAGUGGGGGUGGGGUAGACAAUAUAUUUCUUAGGAUCUCCAGGAGCCACAGAUGUGCCGCCAUUAAGUUCACAUAUGAUAUUCAGGAAGUACCUUUUUUUUUUUGGCUACACUUUUCUCUUAUUUGAUUUAAAAAUAUUUUUUAUUUACGUGGGCCACACAUGGGGAUCUUUCAUUGGAUAAUCACUACAGACACAGGAAACGUUAGAAAUACGAAAGCUGUGGGCACAAAAGGAAAAGGCAGAAUUCAUUGUUUAUACUGCUCUCAGUGACAUAUCAGGAAUAAAAACCUGUGGUAGCUUUGGAGGAGCCAGAAGGAGGGAAGAGGAUGUCUGUAGCAUACUCCUGGCCAUACUAAGUCACAAGUCUCAUGAUUCUGACCUGUAAAUUCAUUAAACGGUCAGGAGGAGAGCUAGCAGUGGUUUCACAUAGGAAAAAGCCACUCCUGAAAUGAUUUCUCUGCUUUGCUUCUUAGGUAUGGUUCUCUUCUUUUGCCAGUUAAUAGGAAAAAAAAAAAAAAACUACUAAGUUGCUCCAAGCCCUGUUAUAAUCAUUCACAUGCUCAAUCAUUUAUUCUAGGAGGCCAGUAUUGUUAAUAUCAGUCCCAUCUAACAGAUGAGGAAAUGGAGGCAUAACGAGGUUAAAUAACUCACUUACAACACACAGCUGGUCAGUGGUUGAAGCAAGAUACAAGCCAAGCUGUGUGGGUCAGAGUCUGUGCAGCUGACUAUACUGGGUAUCAUGCCUAAUUGAUCAUGGUGUAGGAUAAAGCUUGGGAGUCUAGGUUCAAGGUUAAAAGCCCUGAGCAUAUUAGGGCAUAGCUCAUUGCAAAUCUUCAGUCUGUCUGUAGUAUAUGAAGUUUGUUUCCAGGGUGGCAGUUGCACUACUUUGGGGAUUAUUCUCAUUAUUUUCAGUUUACUGAUCUUUCUUGCUGCCGGACAAAAUUGAAUGCUGAGAAAAAAAAAGAAUAGUUUUUUAAACCAUGCUCUAGAUGUGAGAAAAGUAAUAGAAAUGGAAAAUAAUUAAAUUGUGUUAAUAUAUUCAUUGACAACCUUCUGGUUCCUACCACAUGUCAGUCCCUGGCUGUAAGCAAGCCUUCGCAAUGUGGUACACACAGGGUGCUGCGACACCCACCUGAAUAUCCAGAAAGGCUUCCCAGAGGCUCUGAGAGCUGAAUAUAGAAGGAUGUAUGGGGAGCACCUAAAUAAAGAGGGAAAGGCAUUCUAGUUAAAGGGAACAACAAGUACAGGCUCAUGGAAAUAUGCAACCUUAUGUUGUGCUUAGAACUAGGAAGUCUACUUGUGCCAGGUGUAAAGGGCACAUGUAGGUGAGCAGUAGGAGGUAAGGCUGAAGAGAUAGGCUUGGCUGAGCCCUGAGGGCUUUGCGUGUUACAAUUUAAAAUUUGUGAUCCAUGCGGAAUGUUUUGGGAAGCAGUGAAAGAUCUUAAGCAGGGAAAUGGCCUGAUCAGCUCCGUUUUUGUAGAAAAACCAUCUUCUGGCAGUAGAGCGAGUGAGUUGUUUGCAGGCGAAUAGCCAGUUUUGAAGCUGUUAGAGAAACGCAGCAGGGGACACAAGUAGAGGUGGUGGUGUGCACAAGAUGGGUGUGGGUGGCCUUAGGAUGGCAGUGGGGAGGCCCAUUGCCCAGGAGCAACAUGUAAGGACAUUCAAGCUGCCUGUCUAGAGCCCCUUACAUACAUUUUGCUGGUAGUACUAACCCAGGGGAUGAAAUUGGCACUCAACUACUUUGUGUACAUUAUUUCCAAAUAUUAAACUUUUGCUUGGCUAUAAUCCCAAGUUAAUUCUGAAAGUGUAAUGUUGGAAAUAGCUCUUUAACCCUUUAUGGUAUAUUGGAAAUUUUACCACCAUUCAUCAAAUCUUGAGAGUCAACCAUUGCUAGCGCACAGUCAAAGCAUAUAUGGAGUGGGAGGCAGGGGCCACUCAAGAGGGUCUGAUGCAAGAAAUGUUGGCAGUGGGCAUGGGCAGGGUGGAGAGUGAACCCCAAAAGGAAGAGUGAAGAACUCUGGUGCUGGCAAGAAUGGGGAGCUCUUCCACUCCUAGCCUUUCAUGGCUGAGAGGAGAGAACAGUCCUGGGGAGCUGAGGCUACGG
rnacentral:lncRNA from 1 species